rnacentral:rRNA from 1 species
GACGAACGCUGGCGGCGUGCCUAAUACAUGCAAGUAGAACGCUGAAGGAGGAGCUUGCUCUUCUGGAUGAGUUGCGAACGGGUGAGUAACGCGUAGGUAACCUGCCUGGUAGCGGGGGAUAACUAUUGGAAACGAUAGCUAAUACCGCAUAACAGUAGAUGUUGCAUGACAUUUACUUAAAAGGUGCAAUUGCAUCACUACCAGAUGGACCUGCGUUGUAUUAGCUAGUUGGUGGGGUAACGGCUCACCAAGGCGACGAUACAUAGCCGACCUGAGAGGGUGAGCGGCCACGCUGGGACUGGGACACGGCCCAGCACCCUACGGGAGGCAGCCGUAGGGAAUCUUCGGCAAUGGCAGGAAGUCUGACCGAGCAACGCCGCGUGAGUGCAGAAGGUUUUCGGGUCGUAAAGCUCUGUUGUGAGAGAAGAACGAGUGUGAGAGUGGAAAGUUCACACUGUGACGGUAUCUUAACAGAAAGGGACGGCUAACCACGUG